UGGAUGAUGUGGAUUAAUUCGAUGCAACGCGAAAACCUUACCUGGCCUUGACAUGUAGCGAACUUUCCAGAGAUGGAUUGGUGCUCGAAAGAGAACGCUAACACAGGUGCUGCAUGGCUGUCGUCAGCUCGUGUCGUGAGAUGUUGGGUUAAGUCCCGCAACGAGCGCAACCCUUGCCAUUAAUUGCCAUCAUUUAGUUGGGCACUUUAAUGGGACUGCCGGUGACAAACCGGAGGAAAGGUGGGGAUGACGUCAAGUCCUCAUGGCCCUUAUGGCCAGGGCUUCACACGUAAUACAAUGGUCGGUACAGAGGGUUGCCAAGCCGCGAGGUGGAGCCAAUCCCAGAAAGCCGAUCGUAGUCCGGAUUGUAGUCUGCAACUCGACUACAUGAAGUCGGAAUCGCUAGUAAUCGCGGAUCAGCAUGUCGCGGUGAAUACGUUCCCGGGCCUU
rnacentral:rRNA from 1 species